rnacentral:tRNA from 1 species
AGGGGCUCCCGAGCGGCAAAAGGGGGAGGACACAAGAUCCUGAAGCUCAGGCUUCCGAGGGUUCGAAUCCCUCCCCCCCGUA